rnacentral:tRNA from 1 species
GUGAGUUUUGCGAAUGGCAAGGACGCAGAGGACUUAAAAUCCUGCGGUGGGUGACCACCGUACGGGUUCGAUUCCCGUCCUUGGCA